GUUUGAUCCUGGCUCAGGAUGAACGCUAGCGGCAGGCCUAACACAUGCAAGUCGAGGGGUAUAGAGAGCUUGCUUUCUAGAGACCGGCGGAUGGGUGAGUAACGCGUAUGCAACCUACCUUUUACAGGGGAAUAGCCCGGAGAAAUUCGGAUUAAUGCUCCAUGGUUUAUAUGAAUGGCAUCGUUUAUAUAAUAAAGAUUUAUCGGUAAAAGAUGGGCAUGCGUAUCAUUAGCUAGUUGGUGUGGUAACGGCAUACCAAGGCUACGAUGAUUAGGGGUCCUGAGAGGGAGAUCCCCCACACUGGUACUGAGACACGGACCAGACUCCUACGGGAGGCAGCAGUGAGGAAUAUUGGUCAAUGGAGGCAACUCUGAACCAGCCAUGCCGCGUGCAGGAUGACGGUCCUAUGGAUUGUAAACUGCUUUUGUACGGGAAGAAAUGUAAUUACGUGUAAUUAUUUGACGGUACCGUAAGAAUAAGGAUCGGCUAACUCC
rnacentral:rRNA from 1 species